UUUUAGCGUACCUACAAUGUUAAUUUGAGAAUUCGGUCAGGUCUGGAAGGAAGCAGCCGUAACAAAUAAUACAUGUGUUGGAAUACAGCUAAUGCAG
rnacentral:SRP_RNA from 1 species